AGUGAACGCUGGCGGUAGGCCUAACACAUGCAAGUCGAACGGCAGCACAGGAGAGCUUGCUCUCUGGGUGGCGAGUGGCGGACGGGUGAGGAAUACAUCGGAAUCUACUCUGUCGUGGGGGAUAACGUAGGGAAACUUACGCUAAUACCGCAUACGACCUACGGGUGAAAGCAGGGGAUCUUCGGACCUUGCGCGAUUGAAUGAGCCGAUGUCGGAUUAGCUAGUUGGCGGGGUAAAGGCCCACCAAGGCGACGAUACGUAGCUGGUCUGAGAGGAUGAUCAGCCACACUGGAACUGAGACACGGUCCAGACGCCUACGGGAGGCAGCAGUGGGGAAUAUUGGACAAUGGGCGCAAGCCUGAUCCAGCCAUACCGCGUGGGUGAAGAAGGCCUUCGGGUUGUAAAGCCCUUUUGUUGGGAAAGAAAUCCAGCUGGCUAAUACCCGGUUGGGAUGACGGUACCCAAAGAAUAAGCACCGGCUAACUUCGUGCCAGCAGCCGCGGUAA
rnacentral:rRNA from 1 species